rfam:Macrostomum lignano unitig_47681, whole genome shotgun sequence.
CGCUACUACCGAUUGAAUGGUUUAGCAAGGUCCUCGGAUUGGUGCCGACUUGGUGGCAACACUAGGUCGGAUACUGAAAAGAAGAUCAAACUUGAUCAUUUAGAGGAAGUAAAAGUCGUAACAAGGUUUCCGUAGGUGAACCUGCGGAAGGAUCAUUA